rnacentral:rRNA from 1 species
UACGACUACAUAUCAGGCAUAUCAAUAAGCGGAGGAAAAGAAACUAACAAGGAUUCCCUUAGUAACGGCGAGUGAAGCGGGAAGAGCUCAAAUUCGAAAUCUUCAAGGUUUUACCUUGACGAAUUGUAGUUUAAAGAAGUGUUUUCUGUUGAAGUUUUGGUAAAAGUUCUUUGGAAUAGGACAUCAUAGAGGGUGAGAAUCCCGUAUUUGACCAUUAUUUUCAGCUGUGUGAUACACUUUCAAAGAGUCGGAUUGUUUGGGAAUGCAGUCCAAAAUGGGUGGUAAAUUUCAUCUAAAGCUAAAUAUUGGCAAGAGACCGAUAGCGAACAAGUACCGUGAGGGAAAGAUGAAAAGAACUUUGAAAAGAGAGUUAAACAGUACGUGAAAUUGUCAAAAGGGAAGCGUUUGACACCAGUGUUGUUUUCUCGAAAAUCAAUUAAAAAGAGUUGGAUUUUGUGUUGUAUCGACCUUAACAGCUUGCUUCACUCUUUUCCAGCUUUUUUUAAUGCACUUUUCGUUUAACAAGUCAACAUCAGUUUCUUUUGUUGUAAAAGGGUCAUUGGAAGGUGGCUUUCUCUUCGGAGAAAGUGUUUAUAGCCUUUGAUCUCUGCAAUCGGAGAGACUGAGGUCUGCAGCGUAGAUCCUUCGGGGUUAGAUACACUUGUGCUAAGCUAGCUAGCUUUUCAUAGACAACUUGUUGACUAUGAUUUAGUCAUUGUAGCUUACCUCGCUUAUGCUAUUUUACCUACGCUUAGGAUGUUGAGCGCAUGUCUCUCUCU